CUGCUUAAUACUGGGUAUGGCAGGAUACUUAAUCAUCUCGAGGCAAACGAGUGACCUUGUAACAGUGAUCAGAUAACAGAGUGAUUAGGGAACAAUGACAUCAGGUAACAGUGUGAUCAGGGAACAGAGUGAUCAGGUAACAGUGUGAUCAGGGAAUAGAGUGAUCGGGUAACAGUGUGAUCAGGGAACAGAGUGAUCAGGUAACAGGGUGAUCAGGUAACAGUGUGAUCAGGGAACAGAAUGAUCAGGGAAAAGAGUGAUCAGGGAACAGGGUGAUCAGGUAACAGA